GCAAGACUCAUCCUGUUAUUAGUUCAUGUUGAUAUGAUGUGUAUUGAAGUCAAGCGAUAAACAACGUUUGCACUAUUCAUGUUGCAACCCUUAUGCUCAACAAUCUACCAAGAAUGGCAGCAAAUAAAUCUCCCCCAAUCAAAUCCCUUGUCAUUGCAACCCCAAAUACAAAGUAGAACCCAACCCUUUGAAAACAUAGGAACACAACCAGCUUUGAAGCACUUGGAAAUCCCAAGAAGCACCAACCUAGUAAGCAAAUUGUGAUUUGGCCACCAAGAAUGGUUCGCUCCAAUGAAUAGAAGAUAGCCUCUCCCGAAAAGGAAAAAAGCAAAGCCACGGAGCAACAACAAGUGACCACAAGUAAGAAAAAGGCAGCCCAUCAUUUCAGAAGAUGACGAUGAAGAUAUCAAGAAUAAUGUCUAGGAUGAACAAGGAAACAAAGGAGAUGGCCAAGAUAAACUAUGCAAAAUUGAAUACAAAUCAAAGGAGAUGGCAACCCAACUCCAUGAGCAUUUGCCUAUGCAUGGUGUAAAUCACCCAUUGUUUUCCCAGCAUCGAUCCCUUAGUCAAAGCAAGCCCUUUUGUCCACCCUUCACCAUUAUUUUGUGUCUAGUUUGUCACAAGCAAUAACAACUAAAUUGCAUGGACUUACCAACCGUAAGACUCACUCAUCAUCACAAUGAUAUUGACACAACCUUGUCAUCUCCGGGAUAUUAGUGUAUGCCUAAUAAUUAACAUUAAUCUUAGGCUCAAAAAAAUUCCUCCAUUCAAACUAAAAAAUUGCACAAAUUCACAUUAUACACAUACAUACGUAAUCAUCUCCCUUCAUUUGCACAAUCUAAAACUCAAGGGCACAUCAUUGACAAAUAGCCAUGCCUUGGUAAAAAAACACAAAUCUAAACUGCAACCCAUCUACAUCACAAUUCAAGUACGCAUUAGAAUUAAUAUGUUAUCUUAGUCUAGCAAGAUGCAUUUUGUGUGGUAGUGGAAUUUACACCAAUGAUGAGAGAAGCUACACUGCCAUGACUAGAAGAGUGAAGGGGAUCCACCUGAUGAGGAUGUCCAUUAAUAAUGCCAAAACUACUUGAAGAUUAUAGCACUUGUAGUUAUAGAUGGCCAAACGAGCGGCUCAGCCUAGGCCUAUUGAGGCAUGGCCCAACAAGGGUCGUCCCAUCAUGGCCCAGUGAGCUCAUCGUGCCAUGCCAUGCCAGCCCAUGGGCUAAGGCAUGGGCCUGGCAUAGCCCAAUGAGGGUUUAAUUGGGCUAAUGAUGGAGGCAUAUGGAGCAGAAACUGCACCACGACAUCCUCAAUGUGCGAUGACCGUGGCCGCGAGCCACCAGUCUACUCCCCACUGCAUCCGGCUGCUAUGUCCAUUGGAGCAGCACCGUUGCCGCCUUCCCAUGCAUCUAUCUUGGCUGCACCACUACUUCUCCUCUUCCACAUGCGCCGAGAAGAGAGCAUGGAGUCUAGGAUGAACUACAUAGGAUGAGAGCCCCUUUCGUGGAGGCAACUCACACUAGUACAAAAAAUUUAUUGGAGGUGGGUAGAAUGGGUUAAUGGAGGCGGGCAUCACAACCGCCUCCUAUCCAAGGUCACCAUUAAUGGGUCGACCAUGGAGGCAGGUACUUUGCCCACCUCGGUUAAUCAAUAUAAAAAACAAAAAUAAAAAAUAAAAAGCCCACAACCCAGACCUAACGGGCGUAGAUUUGGGCCUCACAUUGCCACCCUGCGCAUCGCCAUUGUUGUUGGUGCAGGCCCCGCCUCAUGAGAACCGUAGCCAAGGUUGCUCGAUCUACCACUAGGGGAGCUCGAUUCGCUGCAUGCGCAUCCACUGUCGCUGGGUCUAGCGACGACACCUUUGCCGGAGCAGGAGUUGCUGCACCACCACCUAGCACCACCACACCUCCGCCAAAUCUAGGUGGGGGUAUUUUCACUUGCAAAAUUGUUAAUAAUUUAAUAAAUGGUGAUGAACCUAUGAGGGUUAGUGUCUCUAUUAUGCACCUAGGGUACCUCACUUCAUUUUAAAGAGCCCAACUAGGAUGGGGCUGGGUGGAGGUAGUUGAAGAGGCCCAAUCUAGAUGCGGAAGGUCAUCUACUUGGAGGAAAAGGCAUAUCAAGAUGUACAUAGAAACCAAUCCUAUUUGAUAGAUUUCCCUAUAACAAACUAAGAAACAUUUGUGUAAACCAAUUAGAUCUCAUCUAUAUAUGAUCCUACCCCCAGAAUGUAUAAGGCGAGGUAGUGUAACACCCAAAAAAUUGGUUCUUUGAGAAUAGAGCUAAAAUAGUUUAAUUUUAUAUUUCUGUGCUCAUGAAAAUAUAGAAAAA
rnacentral:lncRNA from 1 species